UGCGGAGUGACGAAAUUGGAUAGACGUAACAGGCUUUGACCCUGUUGUUCACAAGAAUAUGUGGGUUCAAAUCCCACCUCCGUAG
rnacentral:tRNA from 1 species